UACAUGAAAAAAAGUAUCGGUACUUCUACUCGGUCCUAAAAAAGUGGUAUCGGGACAACCCUAAUUUAAAAGAUGGAACAAUUAAAAAAUUACUAAAGGUCCACUUACUGUAAAUUGCUAAAAUCUUUGUAUAUGGACUAUAAACUGAAGGUUGUGGAUCGAAUCGUCUGAGUUUCCAUUAUUUCUUAUGGGGAAAUUUGCUUUGAUAUAAGACUGCUUUGGAUUACAAGCACAUUUCUGGAACGAAUUAUGCUCGCAGUCCAAGGUAGUACUGUAUUUGGUUUGGCAUCAAUCCCAUAAAGUGAUAGUACAGCAGAGUCCAAGCUGGGAGCGGGAGCUCAAAGAGUCAAUCACUUGUGCUGUAGUGCUCAUGUACUGAUAGGAGAUGAGAGCAGAGUGAUGAGCUCAUCAGUUUGUUGCUUCUCCUUUCACUGUUCAGUCACAGACAGGGAAGGGAUGAUACCUGGGAGUGUAAAUGAAGGGUAGCAGAGAAAAAACAGGUCUCAUGCCUUGCCAGACAGGGCUAUGCUAUGUGGCAGAG